GGAGGGAUGGCCGAGUGGUCGAAGGCGGCGGUCUUGAAAACCGCAGACCCGUUAAGGGUCCGGGGGUUCGAAUCCCUCUCCCUCCGCCA
rnacentral:tRNA from 1 species